rnacentral:rRNA from 1 species
GCUCCGUGCCUAUACCCGGCCGCCGGUAGGCAUAGGCGUGAGCCGCUCCUCUGGGGCGGCGAGCGCGCGAAGCCCCGGCGAGUAGGAGGGCGCGGCGGUGUGCGCGGAAGGGUCUGGGCGUGAGCCUGCCUGGAGCCGCCGCCGGUGCAGAUCUUGGUGGUAGUAGCAAAUACUCAAGCGAGGGCCUUGAGGGCUGAUGUGGAGAAGGGUUUCGUGUGAACAGCCGUUGCACACGAGUCAGUCGAUCCUAAGCCCUAGGAGAAAUCCGAUGUCGAUGCGGGGGGCGGUUUUUACGUGCUCCCCCUCGAUGGGCGAAAGGGAAUCCGGUUCCUAUUCCGGAACCCGGC